CAAUGUUAGCCGAAAUUACAAAAUACUGUUUACUCAAGCAUAAUAAUACUCGAAUAGAUGGAAAAACACGGGAUUUAAUUUUUAUAUUAUUGUUCUGAUAGAAGAGUAUAAAUAUCCGCAUCUCGAGCUGCAUCUGUUAAUAAUCCAGUGGAUUGCAAUUACUGUUAAAGACGAUUUGUAUUUUCUCUGACAACAAAAUGUCGAAAUUAAUUCUAUUGGUUUUUUUAAUCGGAUUUCUAGCCGUCACUACUGAAGCCUGUGCUGCUAAAAAUGCAUGGUGUCACCCAGUCGCCGGCUACAAAUGUUGCGACGAUGGUUGGUUUUGUGACAACGGUUCGUUCUCCCAAGGACUCUGUAAAACAUCAAACGUUACAAUUAUCUAUGGUUAAUGAUAAUAAUCUUCAUGUUUGUCUUCAUAAUCCAGGUCUAUUCAACGAUGGAAAAUGAAAUGCAAUUUUGGUAUAAAAUAUUAUUUUAUCCGCACGAAAAAAUUAUCAUGGAAAUUUAAAUAAAAAAAAUAUAUUCAGAAAA